GAUGAACGCUGGCGGCGUGCCUAAUACAUGCAAGUCGAGCGAACAGACGAGGAGCUUGCUCCUCUGACGUUAGCGGCGGACGGGUGAGUAACACGUGGAUAACCUACCUAUAAGACUGGGAUAACUUCGGGAAACCGGAGCUAAUACCGGAUAAUAUAUUGAACCGCAUGGUUCAAUAGUGAAAGACGGUUUUGCUGUCACUUAUAGAUGGAUCCGCGCCGCAUUAGCUAGUUGGUAAGGUAACGGCUUACCAAGGCAACGAUGCGUAGCCGACCUGAGAGGGUGAUCGGCCACACUGGAACUGAGACCCGGUCCAGACUCCUACGGGAGGCAGCAGUAGGGAAUCUUCCGCAAUGGGCGAAAGCCUGACGGAGCAACGCCGCGUGAGUGAUGAAGGUCUUCGGAUCGUAAAACUCUUUUAUUAGGGAAGAACAAAUGUGUAAGUAACUAUGCACGUCUUGACGGUACCUAAUCAGAAAGCCACGGCUAACUACGUG
rnacentral:rRNA from 1 species